GCAGUCGAGCGGUAAGGCCUUUCGGGGUACACGAGCGGCGAACGGGUGAGUAACACGUGGGUGAUCUGCCCUGCACUUCGGGAUAAGCCUGGGAAACUGGGUCUAAUACCGGAUAUGACCUCCUGUCGCAUGGUGGGUGGUGGAAAGAUUUAUCGGUGCAGGAUGGGCCCGCGGCCUAUCAGCUUGUUGGUGGGGUAAUGGCCUACCAAGGCGACGACGGGUAGCCGACCUGAGAGGGUGACCGGCCACACUGGGACUGAGACACGGCCCAGACUCCUACGGGAGGCAGCAGUGGGGAAUAUUGCACAAUGGGCGAAAGCCUGAUGCAGCGACGCCGCGUGAGGGAUGACGGCCUUCGGGUUGUAAACCUCUUUCAGCAGGGACGAAGCGCAAGUGACGGUACCUGCAGAAGAAGCACCGGCUAACUACGUGCCAGCAGCCGCGGUAAUACGUAGGGUGCAAGCGUUGUCCGGAAUUACUGGGCGUAAAGAGUUCGUAGGCGGUUUGUCGCGUCGUUUGUGAAAACCAGCAGCUCAACUGCUGGCUUGCAGGCGAUACGGGCAGACUUGAGUACUGCAGGGGAGACUGGAAUUCCUGGUGUAGCGGUGAAAUGCGCAGAUAUCAGGAGGAACACCGGUGGCGAAGGCGGGUCUCUGGGCAGUAACUGACGCUGAGGAACGAAAGCGUGGGGUAGCGAACAGGAUUAGAUACCCUGGUAGUCCACGCCGUAAACGGUGGGCGCUAGGUGUGGGUUCCUUCCACGGAAUCCGUGCCGUAGCUAACGCAUUAAGCGCCCCGCCUGGGGAGUACGGCCGCAAGGCUA
rnacentral:rRNA from 1 species